rnacentral:rRNA from 1 species
AACGUAGGAGGCAAGCGUUAUCCGGAGUUACUGGGCGUAAAGAGUGCGUAGGCGGGUGUGUAAGUGAGUGGUGAAAGCCUCUGGCUAAACUAGGGGAGGACCAUUCAGACUGCACGUCUAGAGUCGGAUAGAGGGGUGCGGAAUUCCGGGUGUAGCGGUGAAAUGUGUAGAGAUCCGGAGGAACACCAGUGGUGCAAACGGCGCCCUGGGUCCGAACUGACGCUGAGGCACGAAAGCGUGGGGAGCGAACGGG